rnacentral:sRNA from 1 species
UCCAGAAACUCAUACGGACUUCGACUACACCAUCAAAGCUUCGAAAAGCAAGAAGAAGGUUGGUUAGCGUUUUUGGUGUGAAAUAUGACUAGAUGUUGUGUGUAUGAUAGAGUAUAAA